rnacentral:rRNA from 1 species
AUUGAACGCUGGCGGCAGGCUUAACACAUGCAAGUCGAGCGGAGAUGAGGUGCUUGCUCCUUAUCUUAGCGGCGGACGGGUGAGUAAAGCUUAGGAAUCUGCCUAUUAGUGGGGGACAACAUUCCGAAAGGAAUGCUAAUACCGCAUACGUCCUACGGGAGAAGGCAGGGUAUCUUCGGACCUUGCGCUAAUAGAUGAGCCUAAGUCGGAUUAGCUAGUUGGUGGGGUAACGGCCUACCAAGGCGACGAUCUGUAGCGGGUCUGAGAGGAUGAUCGGCCACACUGGGACUGAGACACGGACAAGACUCCUACGGGAGGCAGCAGUGGGGAAUAUUGGACAAUGGGGGGAACCCUGAUCCAGCCAUGCCGAGUGUGUGAAGAAGGCCUUAUGGUUGUAAAGCACUUUAAGCGAGGAGGAGGCUACUGAGACUAAUACUCUUGGAUAGUGGACGUUACUCGCAGAAUAAGCACCGGCUAACUCUGUGCCAGCAGCCGCCGUAAAAC